AGUGAACGCUGGCGGUAGGCCUAACACAUGCAAGUCGAACGGCAGCACAGUAAGAGCUUGCUCUUACGGGUGGCGAGUGGCGGACGGGUGAGGAAUACAUCGGAAUCUACUUUUUCGUGGGGGAUAACGUAGGGAAACUUACGCUAAUACCGCAUACGACCUACGGGUGAAAGCAGGGGAUCUUCGGACCUUGCGCGAUUGAAUGAGCCGAUGUCGGAUUAGCUAGUUGGCGGGGUAAAGGCCCACCAAGGCGACGAUCCGUAGCUGGUCUGAGAGGAUGAUCAGCCACACUGGAACUGAGACACGGUCCAGACUCCUACGGGAGGCAGCAGUGGGGAAUAUUGGACAAUGGGCGCAAGCCUGAUCCAGCCAUACCGCGUGGGUGAAGAAGGCCUGCGGGUUGUAAAGCCCUUUUGUUGGGAAAGAAAAGCAGCAGGUUAAUACCCCGCUGUUCUGACGGGACCCAAAGAAUAAGCACCGGCUAACUUCGU
rnacentral:rRNA from 1 species